GAAGUUAAUUAUUAUUCAAAUACUAACGAAUGCUAAUACGUUAUUUUCCUUUUCCAAAUUAUGCAAAUUCUUGUGAGUUUCUCCAUUAGCUUGUUCACACUACUGGACACGUUCACGGUGACGUUUGAAAGUGUGAUUGUAAUGUUUUCAAGCCUGUAAACGUGCUUACAUGUUUAUUACUCCUUUACGCAUCGCUGACGACAGUUGAAACGUUUACAUGCAUCGCGUGCAUAAAUCUAUCGACAAGUAAUUGAUGUUUUUGCUCGAUUAUAUUGAUCUUUACGAUGCAUUCAUGCUCAAUGGUAUAUAAACGAUUCGAUUCAAGAACCAUGGACAUACAUCUAGGAAAGGUAUUUCACUUUUUUUUUUUU